rnacentral:rRNA from 1 species
GUGAGGAAUAUUGCGCAAUGGAGGCAACUCUGACGCAGCCAUGCCGCGUGCAGGAAGAAGGCGCUACGCGUUGUAAACUGCUUUUAACCGGGAAGAAACCCCAGGACGUGUCCUGGGUUGACGGUACCGGAGGAAUAAGCACCGGCUAACUUCGUGCCAGCAGCCGCGGUAAUACGAAGGGUGCAAGCGUUAUCCGGAUUCAUUGGGUUUAAAGGGUGCGUAGGCGGAGCGUUAAGUCAGUGGUGAAAUCCUGCAGCUUAACUGUAGACUUGCCAUUGAUACUGGUGCUCUUGAGUGCGCUUGAAGUGGGCGGAAUGUGCCGUGUAGCGGUGAAAUGCUUAGAUAUGGCACAGAACACCAAUUGCGAAGGCAGCUCACUAAGGCGAUACUGACGCUGAGGCACGAAAGCGUGGGGAUCGAACAGGAUUAGAUACCCCAGUAGUCC